UUAGCUUGUUCGGACUUCACAGGCUGAUAUAGGACGACACUUUAUGUCCCGUUAUCCCUAUCGUCCUUGAUUAGCUUGUUUUUACUGCACAGGCUUACAUAGGACGACACUUUACGCACAUGCAUUAAGCCCCUUUAUCCCAGAUUGAAGGUAAUAUAAUUCAUCGCUUGAACGUUUUCAGGAUUUACAGUUAACGUAAGGAUGGGGGUUACGCUAAGAGCAGCGAACGGACCUUACGUCAUCAACGUCGACUGCUCAGAUGGCGACAAUGACGUCACUGCGACGUUCACACAACCAGUGAUCGAUACGCCGCCGACCUUUGUAUCCGGGAUCCCCUGAAGUUCCCCAACGUAUCUGACGCCACUGUCACGCAGACGUUACUCGGGAAGUUUACAACUACAGACCCAGAUACGGCGCGCUCUGUGACGUCACCAUCCACCACCGUGUAUGAGAUCAAAAAUGUGACGUCACCGGUGAAUGUUUCUCAACCAGGAAAUCCUCCAGUUAGGAUAAGAAGUUUAUUGCGGCUGAUGUUGACACAUAUCUCUAUGAGGUUGGGGGAAACAUUGGUGAACGCUGCCUGCCGGACAACACGAACAUGUUUGCUCUGUACAAGGUCAAGGAACACAGACAACGCAUGAAAGCCGAUUAACCGCGUCUUAAAAUUGUUCGACAGAGACUGAAAUUUUGCUGGCAGAGAGAAUGGGCAAAACCUCGUAGUUAGCUGUUCUGAUAAAAGCCCUCCAUCCCAUUUCUGCGUAUAGCUCUCAUUUCAAUUUAGAGCUCCAAUAACUAUUUUGAGCUCCCAUUUCUAUUUAGAGCUCACUUGUGUUUUUAGAGCCCUAAUGUCUGUUUAGAGCUUCAAUUUAUAUGUAUUGCUCCCAUUACUAUUUAAAGCUUCUUUGUUAUUGUAUGUUUUCUGCAAAGUAUUAUACAUGUAUUAUAAUUACUGAUGCUGGCCCUUUUUGACCCGUAUCCGACAGUGUUGUCUCAUUACAUUUAAUGUUAUGUGCAUCACAAAUGUUGCGCUAAGUUAUUUCGUGUGUUUGUAUACUAGAUGACUAUUAGGAAUAUGUACUAUAAUAGUAAAUAUGGCUAUACACAUGUUAUUAAAUACGUCUGAAGAUGAAA